CCUACGGGAGGCAGCAGUGAGGAAUAUUGGUCAAUGGGCGCGAGCCUGAACCAGCCAAGUCGCGUGAGGGAAGACGGUCCUAUGGAUUGUAAACCUCUUUUGUCGGGGAGCAAAAGACGCCACGCGUGGCGUUCCGAGAGUACCCGAAGAAAAAGCAUCGGCUAACUCCGUGCCAGCAGCCGCGGUAAUACGGAGGAUGCGAGCGUUAUCCGGAUUUAUUGGGUUUAAAGGGUGCGCAGGCGGAAGAUCAAGUCAGCGGUAAAAUUGAGAGGCUCAACCUCUUCGAGCCGUUGAAACUGGUUGUCUUGAGUGAGUGAGAAGUAUGCGGAAUGCGUGGUGUAGCGGUGAAAUGCAUAGAUAUCACGCAGAACUCCGAUUGCGAAGGCAGCAUACCGGCGCGCAACUGACGCUGAUGCACGAAAGUGUGGGUAUCGAACAGGAUUAGAUACCCGGGUAGUC
rnacentral:rRNA from 1 species